rnacentral:rRNA from 1 species
AGUGAACGCUGGCGGUAGGCCUAACACAUGCAAGUCGAACGGCAGCACAGGAGAGCUUGCUCUCUGGGUGGCGAGUGGCGGACGGGUGAGGAAUACAUCGGAAUCUACUUUUUCGUGGGGGAUGACGUAGGGAAACUUACGCUAAUACCGCAUACGACCUACGGGUGAAAGCAGGGGACCUUCGGGCCUUGCGCGAUUGAAUGAGCCGAUGUCGGAUUAGCGAGUGGGCGGGGUAAAGGCCCACCAAGGCGACGAUCCGUAGCUGGUCUGAGAGGAUGAUCAGCCACACUGGAACUGAGACACGCUCCAGACUCCUACGGGAGGCAGCGGUGGGGAAUAUUGGACAAUGGGCGCAAGCCUGAUCCGGCCAUACCGCGUGGGUGAAGAAGGCCUUCGGGUUGUAAAGCCCUUUUGUUGGGAAAGAAAUCCAGCUGGCUAAUACCCGGUUGGGAUGACGGUACCCAAAGAAUAAGCACCGGCUAACUUCGUGCCAGCCGCCGCAGUAA